rnacentral:tRNA from 1 species
GGGGGUGAAGCUCAGUGGCAGAGCACAUGCUUAGCAUGCACAAGGCCCUGGGUUCAAUCCUCAGCGCCCA